UACGUAGGGUGCAGGCGUUAAUCGGAAUUACUGGGCGUAAAGCGUGCGCAGGCGGUCUUUUAAGUCAGAUGUGAAAUCCCCGGGCUUAACCUGGGAACUGCGUUUGAAACUGGAAGGCUAGAGUGUGGCAGAGGGGGGUGGAAUUCCAGGUGUAGCGGUGAAAUGCGUAGAUAUCUGGAGGAACACCGGUGGCGAAGGCGGCAUCCUGGACCGGUAUUGACGCUGAGGCGCGAAAGCCAGGGGAGCAAACGGG
rnacentral:rRNA from 1 species